UUUUAUGAGAGUUUGAUCCUGGCUCAGGACGAACGCUGGCGGCGUGCCUAAUACAUGCAAGUCGAACGCUUCUUUUUCCACCGGAGCUUGCUCCACCGGAAAAAGAGGAGUGGCGAACGGGUGAGUAACACGUGGGUAACCUGCCCAUCAGAAGGGGAUAACACUUGGAAACAGGUGCUAAUACCGUAUAACAAUCAAAACCGCAUGGUUUUGAUUUGAAAGGCG
rnacentral:rRNA from 1 species